CUGCAAUUGUGAAGGCAACCACGCAAAAUUGUUGCAUAAAACGGCAAAGAGAUAUCCGAGUUGAACAGUAUCUGAAGAGAAUCUAUGAAGUUGUUUAUCACAAUUAACGCUGUUGCGAGGCGAUCUUGAUAAUAAUCUGUGUAGCUGUUCUCUUCAUUCGCUAAUUACGAUGUAUCGUAAAAUUACAUCCAUUCGAUAGACAUUGUUACGUGUGACUUGUCACGGAAGUUGGAAACCAAACGCGUGUAUCGUGACUGAUCGACAGACCUCAGAAGAGUCAUCUAAAAACGAUUAAAAUAGAUUGCAAUACGGCAUGGCGAUCACCGCUAUGGCCAAUUGUUUGGGCCCCCCGCCCUUGCCACCCGGGAAACGAUUCCUGCAAAAGUCGAGGAAGUUAUCGUCCACUUAUAAGAGUUUCCACGAUCCUGCCGUCGAGGCUUGGCUCCCUCAUAGAGUUCUAGAAAAUCCAAUGGCGAAACUGCGUCCGUGCGAGACGACUAUUGGCACGAUUGCCGCCAAGCAGAGUCUGUUCAGAAGCUGCUCCGAAGGCAAUCUCUGCUCGCGAAAAACGACAGCCGCGCUGGCGCCGAGUAACACGCCUUUAGAGAAGUGCAUCAAGACGAUUUAUGGCAGUUGGAAAAACCUAUUACACCUUGGCGGUAUGAGCCGGCCGUCUAAAGCCGUGACCCAAGCGAAGAAAGUAGCACCACCGGCUGUACCAGACGUGUUUCGACACUCUGGUUCCUCAUUUGGCUCGGCUGGAUAUGCUAGCAGCGAGGAUAGCUGCUUCCUCUCCGGAAGCGGACCCGGAGGUACGACAGACGAUGGAUCCUACGGGAUGCCAUCUGGAAAAAGUCCGGGACCUAUUUUUACCCAUCCUGGCUUCGCCUUUCCGCCGGUCGUCGGCAAGUACGCCCACGCCGAAGAUCAAGGUAUUGACAUGACACAGAGUCCCGGCAGGGACAGCCCUGGCAGUUCAGGAUCGGGUUCCGGUUCUAGACAUUCUACAGCUUCGUUGGAUUCCGGAAGAGCGUCUGGCUAUCAUUUGGGACCUAGAGGGCCCGGUGCUCUCGCCUCGUCUCCCAGAUGCUCUAUUAGCUCCCUUGGAAGUCAUCCCGACAGACCAGCGGACCUUGAUGUCGUUCAUGCUUGGCUAACCGAGCUCCAAUUCGAAGAAUACUUUCCCCUGUUCGCUUCCGCAGGUUAUGACCUCGCUACUAUAACGCGCAUGACGCCGGAGGAUCUUACAGCUAUAGGUAUUAAGAAACCUAAUCACAGAAAGCGGCUGAAGGCGGAAAUAGACAAUUUAAAUAUAGGAGACGGUUUGCCGGAACACGUGCCCGGAUCGCUGGAGGAAUGGCUGAGGCUUCUCAGGCUCGAAGAAUAUCUUGGCGCUCUUCAUCAACAGGGUAUGCGUUCCGUUGAGGACGUGACGACUCUCACUUGGGAGGAUCUCGAGGACAUUGGUAUUGUACGCCUAGGGCAUCAAAAGAGGUUACUCUUGGCUAUUAAGAGAGUUAAAGAUAUUCGUGCUGGCAAACGUAUACAACCGCUUGACCUUGCGCGUUUACCGCCACAUCCCGGACAUACGCAGGACGUUGUUAUACAACGAGGUGGGCCCGACUUACCGUCGCCUGAUGAGGACUGUUCCUCGCCUGUACUCAGAUCUUUUCAAAGAGGUGGAAAUGAUACCACUUCCGGUGCUACUUGGAGAAGUAUGUAUGCCGCGCUUCCGGCUGAUUAUAAUACUGUUGGCCGUACUGGCUCUCGGGGAAAGUCUUUGGAAAGCUUAGAGGACGCGCCUCUUGGUUAUCCUCCGUCGCCGGCGCCGAUCUCGCAUCCACAGCCUCUCGAGUGGCGUCCACGUAGCUUCGAAGAUGGCGAUCUCACACCAACGAAUGAUGCUUCCGUUGUGGAUGCCGGUGGCGGUACUCUUCCACGACCAAGACAUUGCCUUGUUCGUCCGCGGCCCGUCGCCAAGGUCACCGCGACACCGGGGCAAUAUAAAUCCUUGCCAAGAGAUUUCGAUAACAAGUAUCAAUUAACCUACGGACUCGAGAGUAGUCCGCAUCUUCCGAAACGAUGUCCUCCGUCGCCCCCGAGACGGCAGAGCUCUAGGGAUGCAACUAGUUCUUCCGUGAGUGUAGGUGGUACCGCUGUCGGCGACGUUGUGAUAGACUGUAGCGGACCAGUACCGACUGCUUCGUGCGACGAUCAUCAUAUUCACCAGCAUCAUCAUCAGCAUCAUCAUUUGCUUCAUCAUCCGCCGCCGCCGCCGCCAGCACCCACACCAGCGCCUUCCACACCGCCGCAACUGAAUCGGCCGCCCUCCUCCAUGUCGCGCUCGUGGGGUAGCGUCAGCGUUAACGUUAACGAGGAACAUGAGCUAAUUGCCACUCUCGCUUUACAGCAUCGCAACGGAUCAGACGCUAGUUUUAAGUCAAGUUCCAGUACAGAAUCAGACUCAUUGCCGUUCGCCAAUGAGAACGCCGGCACGAUAAAACAAAGGGCCGGCCGAGCGCAAGAGUACGUACCGGGCGGACCGACUAGUAUCGGUGGUCACGUAGUCAAUCAUCAUUCCACUGUUGGUGAACCUGCGGACGUUUUGAACGACAUUGGAAAUAUGCUUGCCAAUCUCACGGACGAGCUCGACGCGAUGCUCGAAGAGGAGAAACGCCAGGGCCUGAACUCAUAAUUGUCACUGCCUUCGUUUGCACUUUUCUAAUUGACUAGAAUUGCCAUAAGAAACGCAAGCUCACACAGUGGCUUUUGUUGCCGGUUACGUGAGAUAAAGACUUAAUUAGUGCAGCGCACACAAGUCGGACACGAUUGAAUUCACGCAAUUCACGAGAGGACGAGCGGACGCGAAUCGCGGUGAGAUUCAAAUAUUGGAUCCUAAGAAUUUUUGAAAAAAUUGUGGAAAUAUUUAUCAGCGUAUAAAACUUUUACUUUCGUUGCAUUUUUCAUUCCGAGAGGAACGAAUGAUAUCGCUCCACAUCGACGGUACUAUUGGCUCGUAUUGUACAAAAAUUAAUGCGUAAUGUAAAGCAUAUUUUCAUCUAUACUUUCUGCUUCGAUCACUUUUUUUCUCUUCGUCGGAAGGAAAGAGCGCUUUACUUUCACGUGUGGGAACAUCGGAUGAUCCACAAAGUUUCCACCUGUUCUAUAAUGGUAUUGCACAAUCCGUAAGUGUCUUCUACUUCUAUUGAAGUGGUAUAGUAUUACAUUUCUUUAUCAUUUUUUAUUUCUCUUACGACGGACAAUAUUAACGAGUGAUAAAGUGAAACGUAUCGCUCUUAUCUGUGUAACGAAUUAUCGCGACAUCCAUCCAAACGAACGAUGUGUGGAAUAUUGACGUGGCACGUGGGGGAGGGGAAUACAAUUUCUUUUUGACGAGUAUGUUGAAUGUGUGAACUAAUAAUUCAUAUUGCAAAAGUGUGUUGCGAACGAUUUGGAAAACGGCACGCGCAGCUUUUGCACAUCCAUCUUACAAUUUGUCUGUGACACGUCAAAUUCGACUCCUCUUCUCCAAGAAUUCGAUUUCCGUUGCGUAUACAUUCCAGUCGACAUUUUCCCAUUUCCGUCCUUCGUUGAAUCGAUAGCGUAAUAGACAUCGGAAUUUUCUACAGUUGACUAUGUUAUAAUGGCGGGGGGCGCAAAGACAGAUAAUUAAAUGUGUUUCAUCGCCCGAGUGAAGCACAGCUCCGAAAACAGAUUAGAAUGGCGUACAUACUUAUAAAGAAAUUGUUACAAUGAUGGAAAAUAAUUUUAACAUCCUCGGUCAUGAAAUGAUUUUUCGCGGAAAAGAGAUCACAAGACAUAGGCAAUGCUUUCCCUUUCCUAUCGAUCGCAGAUAGAAUUUUCAAGGCAAUACGGUUUAGUACAGAAACAUAAGUAAGGUAUACCAAUUAACAUUUUGUAUUUAUUAUCUGUACUAAUGAAUAUUUAGAGGCGUACAUAAUUCACUAUUAUUGUAUGGUACAUCCCGAUGUGCGGAGCACUUGGAAAGUAUUCAUACGCAUUAAAUCAAAGUAAUUGUAGCUAACGGGGGCACAUUUUUGAGGUAGGCACCCGAAUGGUCUUCGCUAAUGUGUUACUACUGGUACGUUUUGAGAUCUGAAUAUAUAUAGUAUUUUACAAGAAAUUUUUAUGAAAUACUUUAUAUGAUACUUUAUAUAAUAUUAUAGUAUUGAAUAACGCAAUGAUGUGCAAGCAGCAGAGACUUAAACUAACAAUUCUUCGAAGUGACGUCGCAGAAAAUCUUGCUUGACACUUUUAACACUUCAAGAUAAAAACCGAGAAAAAUUCUCUCUUCCUAUAUUAUUGAUCUAAAGCCAAUUUAUAUUGAUAAUUUGCUACCUAUAUAUAUAUAUAAAUAUAUAUAUUAAUCUGUUAUUAAUAUUUGCAGUAGUACAUCCAUCUUUCAUGUUAAGAGAUCACUUUACGUACCAGUUUCGAUGACUGACAAUGCAAAACGCAUGAUUUAUGAUAAAAUGUAUAAUUAUUAUACCACCACUCCCCCCUGAGACACAUUCUAUUUUUAGUCCUAACGAGGAUCGUUAUUUAUAUCUGGAUCCAAUUGGGAUCCAUUCACAGAUAAGAAAGGAACACAACAUAUACGGAAUUCUGAGGUACAUUUAGAAGUAAUUGAUGAAAAAAGGAAGGCUGCUCGCAGUGCAGACUGGAGUUUUGUCUUGUUACUAUGAAUCAUACUAAUCAGACGCAUGACUGACGCGCGAUGCGAACAAGUUACGCACAUUGUAGGUUUGUACUGCAAUUUGAUAUAUAUAAUGUUACGAUAAUGCAAUCAUUCGAGCGAGCCAGCGUAUAUCUCAAUUUUAUGCUGUACAGUUUACGAUAUAUGUUUCGAUUAUUGUACAAAUAUUAUGCUUUUUUAACAGCGAACUAUUAUAUUCUGGUUUAUAUUUUAAUUUAUAUCAAUGAUUAUUGCUUAUAACGUACAUGGUAAAUAAUUAAAUUGAUAAAAGAAUUAUAUCAUUGUAUGUAAUGCGUGUAGUGUGUAACAGAGUUGCCUGUUGCAUAAGAAUAUAAAUAAGAAUUGAUUAUUUUAAAAGAGAUGCAAAUCAAGUAUGAAAAUUUAUUAAUAGGAAUAUGCAUUAUAUUUAUAUUAGCGUUUUAUUUACAUCUUUGAUAUUGCCGUCAAGCAACAUCAAUUUAUGUAGUAUAUUGAUAUAAAGACACUUUUUAUUCCGCUAUUAGCAAUGUAAAUAUUCAGAUAACAAUGUGUUUCAAUUAUUUUGUUAAUUUUGAUAUCUAAUAGCUGAUUUGAGUACGUAAAAUUAUGCAGAUUUGCAAUAUUACACACGCUAUGAGAAAAAUUACUAUAAAUUAUCACAGCAAGUCAUUCGCAAUUUGCUGAAUAAAAGAUAAAAUUUGUUUUCGAAUUGCAUUGCAUUACAGCAGAAUAUACAUUCGUAUAUCAUAGUUUACAUAAUGCUUUUUUACAUGAUGCUUUUUUUUUAUCAUCAAGAAGCCAUUGAAUAAACGUGCAUUUUUUAAACUUAUUUAAUAUUAACUACAUUAAGUCAGCGCAAAAGUUUUUAUACUCUUGCAUUGAAUACGAAAGAUUAUAAAAACGUGAAACGCUUAAGUAUUAAAUAGCGCAUUUCUUUACAAUAAUGUUCUUCCAAGAGAAUGUAAUUCCCAUCAUUUUUAAUAAAUCAACUUCCACACACACAUAGAUGUAAACCGAUAGUUCUUUGGCGUCCAAUAGAUGCGAAAAAAAUGGAUAAGCUACUCAGUUUUCAAGUAUUAGUUAACGUAAAUUCAGAGAUAUUUAUAUUAUACUGGUUUAUAGACAGCUAACUGACAGUGUCCUAAAUACAUUGCUUCCGCAUGGUAUAUAGGAUAUUACACACAUAUAUAAACAUAGCAUAUUAAUUAUAGUUUUUGUACAAACGUAAUGCGUCACUAUAGUCUCGCUCACAGCGAGCCCAAUGCCCGCCUAAACUGCAUUGUACAACCCCCUUUCCCUUCCAUGUUGAUUUAUAUAAAUGCGCGUUAGAUAUAUUACUUGGUUUAUUGAUUAAGAAAAAGGUGAUUGAUCUUUAAAUAAAGCCAAUGGACACACUUAUUCAUCAUCUCUCGAUCGAUACUCAAAUUAUUUCCCUCGUCUCAAAAGUGAGAAACAGAUUUUCUUAUGUAUACUUUGCUUAUGAUUAAUAAAAUUAAAUAUUAACAUUU
rnacentral:misc_RNA from 1 species